CCCUAUCACAUUAAGACACCAUUCCCAUAUGAUCGCCAAAGUUAAGCAAUGUUGAGCCUAGUCAGUACCUAGAUGGGUAAUUCCUGGGGAUUACCAGGUGCUGUAA